rnacentral:rRNA from 1 species
AACGAACGUUAGCGGCGCGCCUAACACAUGCAAGUCGAGCGAGAAAGGGCUUCGGCCCCGGUAAAGCGGCGCACGGGUGAGUAACACGUGGGUAACCUGCCCUCGGGUUGGGGAUAACAUUCCGAAAGGAGUGCUAAUACCGAAUAAGACCACGACCUCGAAAGAGGAUGCGGUCAAAGCUGGCCUCUAUACAUAAGCUAGCGCCUGAGGAUGGGCCCGCGGCGCAUCAUGGUAGUUGGUGAGGUAACGGCUCACCAAGCCGAAGACGCGUAGCUGGUCUGAGAGGAUGAUCAGCCACACUGGAACUGAGACACGGUCCAGACUCCUACGGGAGGCAGCAGUGGGGAAUCUUGCGCAAUGGGCGAAAGCCUGACGCAGCGACGCCGCGUGAGUGAUGAAGGCCUCGGUUGUAAGCUCUGUGGGAGGAGACGAAUAAGUAGCGGGCGUAAUACUCCGCAUGAUGACGG